UUUCCGAAGUACCAAAAAAAAAAAACAGAAAAUAGACAAAGGCGGUCUCUACAGUCUACACACGCUUGAUUUUUCCAGAUAUUUUCCGAGCGAAUCUGAAUUUACCAGGAAAACUGAAAAAGAAAAAGGGGGAAACGCAAAAAAGAAUCGAUUUUUGUGUAGCAAUUUGUUUUGUAGAGAGAGGAGAAAAAAGAAGAGAGAAGCAACUUUGUUUUCCCUCUCCUCAAAAUUCGCUCCGUUUUCCCAAACCCUAGCUUCUUCUGCCGCCGGCGAGACCAACCGGAGAGGACGAAACAAGAAACAUCUCUUUAGGGUCGCCUAUGAUGACCCCUUACGACCAAAGAUACUCCGAUCCUCUCUCCUAUCGCCAGCGUCGAAGUGACCUAAUGGGCCCGCCGCCUCCGGUGGUGCCGCCAAUGAUAGGCAGUGGACCGGCCUCGUAUGGACGCGGUGGUCCUGUUUCAUAUGGUGGCCCUCCGGUGCCUUACGGUGGUGGUGGAACUGGGUCCGUUGGUGGUGUUUCGGGUUCUGUACCUGGUGGUGGUUUUAACGGGUACCCGCCUUUUCAGCCUGAUGUUGGAAGAGGGUUUAACAUUGGUAGAGGAGGUGGCAGUGGUGGUGGGGGAAGGGGCUUUAGUGACCGGGGAGGUGGAGGAAGGGGAGGUUCGGGUGGUAGAGGUGGUGGUGGAGAUUUUGGUGGUAGAAUGGCCAAUGGUGGGUUGGGGGGUAGGCGAGGUGGUGGUGGUGGAACGGGCCGUGAGGGCGGGCGAGGUGGCAGUGGUGGGAGGGGAUUUGAUUCUAGCCGUGGUGGAGGUAGAGGUGGUGGUGGCUAUGGGGGCAGUGGGACUUCGGAAUUUGGUAGGAGUGGUGUUAAAAGUUUUGAUGGAGGCAGGGGUGGUGGUAGGAGUUUUGGUAGUGGGCGUGGAAGGGGGUUUGAUGGAGGCCGUGGCGGCGGCAGAGGUGGUGGUAGACAUGGUGGAGGAUCAAGAGGGGACUUGGACAAUAUUACUCUCCCAAAACAAGAUUUUGGCAACAUAGUCCCAUUUGAGAAGAAUUUUUACAUUGAGAGUCCUUCAGUGAGAGCCAUGUCUGAACAAGAUGUUAUGCUUUACCGAGCAAGACGUGAUAUCACUGUUGAAGGCCUCGAUGUCCCAAAGCCAAUUCGGAUUUUUGAGGAGGCAAAUUUUCCUGAUUAUUGCCUUGAGGUUAUAGCUAGAUUGGGUUUUGUCGAGCCAACGCCGAUUCAAUCUCAAGGAUGGCCAAUGGCCUUAAAGGGAAGAGAUUUAAUUGGCAUUGCUGAGACAGGUUCUGGAAAGACAUUGGCGUAUUUGAUCCCUGCUUUGGUUCAUGUUAGUGCACAGCCUCCAUUGGUAAAAGGUGAAGGGCCCAUUGUCCUGGUAUUAGCGCCUACUAGAGAAUUGGCUGUUCAGAUUCAAGAAGAAACUGUAAAAUUUGGAUCUCGUGCAAAUAUUAGAACUACCUGUAUCUAUGGUGGUGCACCAAAAGGACCGCAGAUUCGUGAUCUUCAAAGAGGUGUUGAAAUUGUCAUUGCAACACCCGGUCGACUGAUAGAUAUGUUAGAAGCACAGCACACAAACUUGAAAAGAGUUACUUACCUUGUAUUGGACGAGGCUGAUCGAAUGUUGGACAUGGGUUUUGAGCCACAGAUCAGGAAAAUUGUUGCUCAGAUCCGACCUGAUAGACAGACUUUGUAUUGGAGUGCCACGUGGCCAAAGGAGGUGGAAACUUUAGCCAGGCAGUUUUUACGCAAUCCAUAUAAGGUGAUUAUUGGUUCCCCAUAUCUCAAAGCAAAUCAAUCUAUUAACCAAGUCGUCGAAGUUGUAACAGAGGUGGCGAAGUAUAACAGGCUGAUCAGGCUGCUUAAAGAAGUGAUGGAUGGAAAUCGAAUACUAAUUUUCAUGGAGACAAAAAAAGGAUGCGACCAAGUCACUCGACAGCUGAGAAUGGAUGGAUGGCCCGCUUUGUCCAUCCAUGGUGAUAAGAACCAGGCCGAAAGAGAUUGGGUCCUGGCCGAGUUUAAAAGUGGCCGGAGUCUUAUAAUGACUGCCACUGACGUUGCUGCACGUGGUCUUGGUAGGAUCAGUGUGUGUUAGGACUUAGGAGUUAAUAAGUUUCUGUUCAUUUAGGUCAUGUUAAAUUCUGAAGAUAGGCGAGUCGGCCGGUUGCUGUCCACUUUCCUGAGAAUAUAAUUUGUGGCUUGGGUGCGAAGAGGGCAUAAAUUGCAAUUUUAAAAUUAUUUUGAGCAUGGACCUACUCUAAGAAGCACGAACACGUGGACAUGACAGUUUUCAAAAAAUGCAAGACGCAACAAGUGGAGAUACACGCAAAAUAUAUAGUUUUAUAUAUUUAUUAUAUAUUAUAUAUAUGAAUAUAUCAUUCAAAGAUAAUAAAAAAAAUACAACAAAAUACUAAUUUUUGUAAAUUUACAUUUUUUUUAAAAAUCUUUGUACCCUAGGUUAUUUUGUUCAUACUUAUAAGUAGUUUCAUGUGUAUCCAAGUGAUGGAUAUGUGUUUCCUCCAAGUGUCUAAAAAGUAUACAUGUCUUAAAAAAAUUAAAAAUAAUAGGACACGUUUGGAUGAGUGUCUGACAUUGUUUGAUGAGUGUCGGUGUCUGACAUGGACACGACAUUUAUAUGCCACAUUCUUAGAAGUGUCCAUAACUCAUGAAAUGAUUACGAGUUGGGUUUAGAGGAAAGUUUUGGGGUCUGUUUGGUUUCAUUUCAGAAAAUUGUUCUCUAUUCUUUAGAGGAAAGUUUUGGGGUCUGUUUGGUUUCAUUUCUGUUUUGAAAACCAUUGUCAAUAUUUUUUUAAAACAGCCCAUUUCUUGUGUAGUUUUAAAUUGGUUGAGUACUCAAAAUAUUGAAUUCAUAAAAAUUUGAAUAUAGAAAAGUGAAUAUACCAAACACGCCCCAGUUUCUUGGAUUGUGUUAGACUGAUCCACAAGAUGCCUCUGCUUGCUACUUAUCUGGUUACAGCUCAUGUUACAUGGACACUGGGAGCACAGUUUUACAGACGUCGCCAUGACUGUAGUCUCUAGAUUUUGGUGAAAACACCCAUUAUACUAUGAGGAAGAUUGAGGGCUAGUCUUAAUAGACUAGGUUCUUUUCUUGGUUACUCAUCGGGAAAUGGUAAUAGAUAGAGCUACUUUUAUGGGUUUUAUAUCCGUCACUAAAUUGCCAAAAAUGGUAUGGCUGCUCCUAUGAUUGUGUCUAGGUAACAGAGUUGGAAGUCAUCUCUGCCCAUCCACGGUUGUGGAGCUGGUUGUCGUGACAGCCCGGUUGACUCAAACAAGCUUAUUCAAUUGAUUGGAUAUAUGGAUUUGGAAGUUGUCGUGGUGGAGCUGCUCCUUAUCCCUGCAAGUUUUAAGAUGUGAAAGACAUAAAAUGCGUGGUCAAUUAUGAUUUUCCAUCGAGUUUGGAGGAUUAUGUCCAUAGGAUUGGCCGAACUGGCCGUGCAGGAGCGAAGGGAAUGGCUUUUACC